rnacentral:rRNA from 1 species
AUUGAACGCUGGCGGCAUGCUUUACACAUGCAAGUCGAACGGCAGCACGGACUUCGGUCUGGUGGCGAGUGGCGAACGGGUGAGUAAUACAUCGGAACGUACCCAGUAAUGGGGGAUAACUAGUCGAAAGAUUAGCUAAUACCGCAUACGCCCUACGGGGGAAAGAGGGGGAUCGCAAGACCUCUUGUUAUUGGAGCGGCCGAUGGCUGAUUAGCUAGUUGGUGGGGUAAAGGCCUACCAAGGCGACGAUCAGUAGCGGGUCUUAGAGGACGAUCCGCCACACUGGAACUGUGACACGGUCCAGACUCCUACGGGAGGCAGCGGUGGGGAAUCUUGGACAAUGGGCGCAAGCCUGAUCCAGCAAUGCCGCGUGCGUGAAGAAGGCCUUCGGGUUGUAAAGCGCUUUUGUCUGGGAGCAAAUCCUUGUGGCUAAUACCCACCGGGGAUGAGAGUACCAGAAGAAUAAGGACCGGCUAACUACGUGCCAGCAGCCGCCGUAACAC